GGAUGUGUGGGCAAUCUGGCUGCCACAUAUCACCCUACGGAUUGCCAGGGUUGAUUCAGCUGAUCAGCUGACUAGGUGGGUGCCCCAUUCCUCUCACCACUUCAUGUGUGUCCCUCCCAAAGCUGCUUGCUCGGUGGAAGAGAUGACCAUCUCAGAUAGAAGCGUGCCAAUCUUCAGUCAAGGGUAUACGAUAG
rnacentral:snRNA from 1 species